UACGUAGGGUGCAAGCGUUGUCCGGAAUUAUUGGGCGUAAAGAGCUCGUAGGCGGUUUGUCGCGUCUGCUGUGAAAUCCCAGGGCUUAACCCUGGGCCUGCAGUGGGUACGGGCAAACUAGAGUGCGGUAGGGGAGAUCGGAAUUCCUGGUGUAGCGGUGAAAUGCGCAGAUAUCGGGAGGAACACCAAUGGCGAAGGCAGCUCGCUGGGACGGUACUGACGCUGAGGCGCGAAAGCGUGGGGAGCAAACAGG
rnacentral:rRNA from 1 species